CACGUAGUUAGCUGUGGCUUGCUCCUUAGUUACCGUCAUUAUUCUUCACUAAGAACAGAAGUUUACAAUCCGAAAACCGUCUUCCUUCACGCGGCGUUGCUGCAUCAGGCUUUCGCCCAUUGUGCAAUAUUCCCCACUGCUGCCUCCCGUAGGAGUCUGGGCCGUGUCUCAGUCCCAAUGUGGCCGUUCAACCUCUCAGUCCGGCUACUGAUCGUCGACUUGGUAGGCCGUUACCCCACAACUAUCUAAUCAGACGCGAGUCCAUCCUUAGGCGCCUCAGCUUUGGAUAUCUACGAUGCCGUUAAUAUACUUUAUAUGGUAUUACCGUCCGUUUCCAGACGCUAUCCCUUUCCUAAGGGCAGGUUACUCACGCGUUACUCACCCGUCCCGCCACCUCAGUCAUAUCAGAUUUCUUUCCGAAGUAACUACCGAAUCCAUUCAAGUCUUACGUUCGUACUUGCUAUCGUGUUAGGCUACGGCCGCCACGGCCGUCGUCCUUCGACGUCCACGGACUACGAAC
rnacentral:rRNA from 1 species